rnacentral:sRNA from 1 species
GUUAAUAUAAUAGUUGUAGUUUUUGAAUGGUAUUGAUUCGAUUGUUCGCAUAGACUUUCUUCCAUUAGUACCACACAGAAAUACAAACAAAUUUUUUAUGCUCUUAGAGGAGGAAAUGUUCUAAUGGAACACGGCACAGUAAAAUGGUUUAACGCAGAAAAAGGUUACGGCUUUAUCACUCGCGAAGAUGGUAGCGAUGUAUUCGUACAUUUCUCAGCUAUCCAAGGCGACGGCUACAAGACGCUUGAAGAAGGCCAAGCUGUUACUUUCGAUAUCGAAGAAAGCGAUCGCGGACCACAAGCUGUUAACGUUAACAAAGACUAAUUUAGUUUAGUUAAUAACAGUUGAGGAUCGACACUAUUGUCGGUCCUUUUUU